rnacentral:rRNA from 1 species
UACGUAGGUGGCAAGCGUUGUCCGGAAUUAUUGGGCGUAAAGCGCGCGCAGGCGGUCCUUUAAGUCUGAUGUGAAAGCCCACGGCUCAACCGUGGAGGGUCAUUGGAAACUGGGGGACUUGAGUGCAGAAGAGGAAAGCGGAAUUCCACGUGUAGCGGUGAAAUGCGUAGAGAUGUGGAGGAACACCAGUGGCGAAGGCGGCUUUCUGGUCUGUAACUGACGCUGAGGCGCGAAAGCCAGGGGAGCAAACGGG